rnacentral:rRNA from 1 species
UGGGGAAUUUUGGACAAUGGGCGAAAGCCUGAUCCAGCAAUGCCGCGUGUGUGAAGAAGGCCUUCGGGUUGUAAAGCACUUUUGUCCGGAAAGAAAUCCUUGGCUCUAAUACAGUCGGGGGAUGACGGUACCGGAAGAAUAAGCACCGGCUAACUACGUGCCAGCAGCCGCGGUAAUACGUAGGGUGCAAGCGUUAAUCGGAAUUACUGGGCGUAAAGCGUGCGCAGGCGGUUUGCUAAGACCGAUGUGAAAUCCCCGGGCUCAACCUGGGAACUGCAUUGGUGACUGGCAGGCUAGAGUAUGGCAGAGGGGGGUAGAAUUCCACGUGUAGCAGUGAAAUGCGUAGAGAUGUGGAGGAAUACCGAUGGCGAAGGCAGCCCCCUGGGCCAAUACUGACGCUCAUGCACGAAAGCGUGGGGAGCAAACAGGAUUAGAUACCCUGGUAGUCCACGCCCUAAACGAUGUCAACCAGUUGUUGGGGAUUCAUUUCCUUAGUAACGUAGCUAACGCGUGAAGUUGACCGCCUGGGGAGUACGGUCGCAAGAUUAAAACUUAAAGGAAUUGACGGGGUCAUAGCUGUUUCCU